AUUGAACGCUGGCGGCAGGCCUAACACAUGCAAGUCGGACGGUAGCACAGAGGAGCUUGCUCCUCGGGUGACGAGUGGCGGACGGGUGAGUAAUGUCUGGGGAUCUGCCCGAUAGAGGGGGAUAACCACUGGAAACGGUGGCUAAUACCGCAUAACGUCGCAAGACCAAGGAGGGGGACCUUCGGGCCUCUCACUAUCGGAUGAACCCAGAUGGGAUUAGCUAGUAGGCGGGGUAAUGGCCCACCUAGGUGACGAUCCCUAGCUGGUCUGAGAGGAUGACCAGCCACACUGGAACUGAGACACGGUCCAGACUCCUACGGGAGGCAGCAGUGGGGAAUAUUGCACAAUGGGCGCAAGCCUGAUGCAGCCAUGCCGCGUGUAUGAAGAAGGCCUUCGGGUUGUAAAGUACUUUCAGCGGGGAGGAAGGCGGUGAGGUUAAUAACCUUGCCGAUUGACGUUACCCGCAGAAGAAGCACCGGCUAACUCCGUGCCAGCAGCCGCGGUAA
rnacentral:rRNA from 1 species